rnacentral:lncRNA from 1 species
CGUUGGAUAUGGGUCCAUGGCUAGCUCACUGGGUUGUGCGGGAGAGUCAAUUGGGUCCUUGUACGUGCGACUUUGUGGGCCUGUUGGGCCGUUCGGGUGGGGCUGUUGCCCAGCCUGAACUCGCAUGCGUGUAGGCUUUGCUAUGCAUAUGAGCGUGGUGCAUGCAUGUGGCUUGUGCAUGCUUAGUACACGUCAGGCAUCUUCCUCGAACGUGGGCUGCCCAUGGGUGC